ACCAUUUCACUCUGAUGAGCUGAAGCAGGAGCCAGAGAAAGAUCUGAAGGAAACCUGGGGGUGGAAGGCAGCCUGGAUGUCUAGAGCAUCUCAUUUGCUAACUUUUUGAAAUACAUCCACUCUUCGGUUUUUGCAAGGGUCUCUAUCAUUCAAUGUCAGACAAGCAGACGCUUGCUCUACCCUGGCACUCCAGAGCUCAAGCCAGUUCUGGUCUCAGCAGGUGCCUGUCAAUGUCUUCUACUGAGCUGCUGUAGGAAUGCAGAGGAAAGGCCAACUCAACCCUCCAACUGUGAACCCAACACCCCCUACCAGGGUGGGCCUUCCUACCCCUCCAGCUCCAAGGACACACCUCUAUUGUCAAAAGAUGCUCUGGCUGAAGAAGCACUUUUGUGACAUCUAUACCAUGUCAUGCUGAUCUCAGAAGCUGCAGGUGAGAUGAGAGCCCAGAGCUAACCAGUGGUUCACUCUAGGGUGUUUUGAUAAAAGCUGGGUUCUUCGGGACUCAGGCUCUGCCCACGUCUCCUGUGUGCAUCUCUCCAGAGCUAAGAAGGUUUGACUAAGUGUCAAGUCCUCCCUUGGCUCCUGCAUCUUGAGUCAGCAUCACUCCAGGGUGCUCAACAGCCCUUCACCCUCAUCUCCCUGGAGAGAACCAGACACCUCAGUCAGGGACCAACAGCAUGAAGAAGAGAGCUGACAUCCUACCUGCCCUUACCACACACCAGACACCACAGAAUGAGCCCAGCUAUCUGCAAAGAUGUUUGGCAGAA
rnacentral:lncRNA from 1 species